AAGGGAGCGUAGGCGGCUGAUUAAGUCAGCGGUGAAAGGUAGCAGCUUAACUGUUUUACAUGCCGUUGAUACUGGUUAGCUUGAGUUGACAGAAGGCAGAUAGAAUUCCUGAUGUAGCGGUGAAAUGCUUAGAUAUCAGGAGGAAUACCGAUUGCGAAGGCAGUCUGCUGCAGUCACACUGACGCUGAGGCUCGAAGGUGCGGGGAUCAAACAGGAUUAGAUACCCUAGU
rnacentral:rRNA from 1 species